ACGGAGGUAACAGAUUGCACAAACACAUUGAAACAUUUUCAGCUGUUCACUAACACUGUUACAUUUUCUGGAAUUUCCAAUUGAAUGGGAAAAUACGUAAGUAAGAUAGAGAAAAACUAUCGACAUUCUAAACAUAUUGUAAUAUUAACUUGCUAGAAUAGGAGAGACGAAUGCCCAAUUUUUCAAGAAGAAGAAAACGAAAAGCGCAGUUUAUUUUGGUUUUUACAGAGAGUAAACAAAAAAGAUUAACAACGAGAAAAAGAAAUCAUUUGGAGCGUUUGGAUGCGUAUAACAAAGACGCACCAUUCAAUUAGCCGCAUCACCGGUGACUUGGAGGACGAGCAUUACAUGGAGCUCGCUAUUAGUUUAAGUAAAUAUUUCUUUAUUUUGAUGUUAUUAUUAAAUAAAGCGAAAUAAUAAAAAAACUGAAUUUUAUUUAAAAGAAUUGAAUUUGCUAG